AGAAAGCAAAUAAAAUGGACACCCUUCUUGCUAGGACCCUUAAGCCUAGACAGAGAUGCUCUCAUAUCCCAUCCAUACAACACUCCGACGUCCCUAUUAAAAAUACACCAUCUGACAUUGCGGAGGUCUUCACUAACUUUUAUAGAUCACUUUAUAACCACUCCCCGGACUCCAAAAUUCAGAGGGAUCAGGAAGAGAACUUAACAUGCAGAUUUUUGAUAGACCCAGGG